rnacentral:tRNA from 1 species
GGUGGCUUAGUGGUAGAGCGCUUGCCUUGAAUGCAUGAGGCCUUGGGUUCGAUUCCUCAGCACCA